GGGUCUGGCCGGGGAUUGAACCCGGGACCUCUCGCAAGCAAGCUGUAGGGUUUACCCUAAGCGAGAAUCAUACCACUAGACCACCAGACC
rnacentral:tRNA from 1 species